UACGGAGGGUGCGAGCGUUAAUCGGAAUUACUGGGCGUAAAGCGCGUGUAGGUGGCUUGUUAAGCCAGAUGUGAAAGCCCCGGGCUCAACCUGGGAACUGCAUUUGGAACUGGCAGGCUAGAGUUUUGUAGAGGGUGGUAGAAUUUCAGGUGUAGCGGUGAAAUGCGUAGAGAUCUGAAGGAAUACCGGUGGCGAAGGCGACCACCUGGCCAAUAACUGACACUGAGACGCGAAGGCGUGGGUAGCAAA
rnacentral:rRNA from 1 species